rnacentral:rRNA from 1 species
GGGGGAUAACAGUUAGAAAUGACUGCUAAUACCGCAUAAGCGCACAGGACCGCAUGGUCAAGUGUGAAAAACUGAGGUGGUAUGAGAUGGACCCGCGUCUGAUUAGCUAGUUGGUGAGGUAAGGGCUCACCAAGGCAACGAUCAGUAGCCGACCUGAGAGGGUGACCGGCCACAUUGGGACUGAGACACGGCCCAAACUCCUACGGGAGGCAGCAGUGGGGAAUAUUGCACAAUGGGGGAAACCCUGAUGCAGCGACGCCGCGUGAGCGAAGAAGUAUUUCGGUAUGUAAAGCUCUAUCAGCAGGGAAGAAAAUGACGGUACCUGACUAAGAAGCACCGGCUAAAUACGUGCCAGCAGCCGCGGUAAUACGUAUGGUGCAAGCGUUAUCCGGAUUUACUGGGUGUAAAGGGAGCGUAGACGGAUAAGCAAGUCUGGAGUGAAAGCCCGGGGCUCAACCCCGGGACUGCUUUGGAAACUGUUAAUCUAGAGUGCUGGAGAGGUA